rnacentral:piRNA from 1 species
UGUCAGUCACUAACUUAAAACUGUCUUUUU